GGUUAACAAAGCUGAGCCCAAGGCUGAGAACAAGUGUGUACCACCACCUCCACCGAUGGGGACAUAUGGAUAUCAGGGGAACACUGGCAGUGUCCCCAAAGGAGUGAAUCCUUACUCUAUGAAAGCAGCAGGUCUAUGGGGCAGCAGAUACCCUGCA